rnacentral:rRNA from 1 species
GACGGGACCCCGCACAAGCGGUGGAUUAUUGUUGUUUAAUUCGACGCAACGCGAAGAACCUUACCAGGCCUUGACAUACCCAGCAAAACUGUAGAGAUACAGCGGAGGUUUAUCUGGGAUACAGGUGGUGCAUGUUGUCGUCAGCUCGUGUCGUGAGAUGUUGGGUUAAGUCCCGCAACGAGCGCAACCCUUGUCUUUAGUUACCAUCAUUCAGUUGGGGACUCUAGAGAGACUGCCGGUGAUAAACCGGAGGAAGGUGGGGAUGACGUCAAAUCAUCAUGCCCCUUAUGGCCUGGGCUACAAACGUAAUACAAUGGCGUAUACAAAGGGAUGCGAAGUGGUGACAUGGAGCUAAACUCACAAAGUACGUCUCAGUUCGGAUUGAAGUCUGCAACUCGACUUCAUGAAGCUGGAAUCGCUAGUAAUCGCGGAUCAGCAUGCCGCGGUGAAUACGUUCUCGGGGUUU